UCAAAAGAAAAAAAUAAUUAACAACCCCAUUCAAAUCUUUGGCCUUUUGGUGCCUUUUCAUUUAAUUUAUUAUUAACAAUCAACUCACCAACUUAUUUGAAAUUUUUACCACGAACUACGAGGUUUUCAACCCUCAUUUUUAUGUUGGUACGUAGGCACAAGACAGAAGGUCUUGUCAAAUACAAAAAUAUAACCAAUGAAUUCUU
rnacentral:lncRNA from 1 species